UCCACCCACGGGACCAGGUUGAAACCUCUAGACUUGAAAUCCAUCCAAGACGGUGACAGAUCUGCAUGACUAACUGGAGAGUAUCAUCUUGCAAUAAUGUGCCUUUUGUUGCUGAACCCUUUCCAAUCACGAGCUGGUAUUCAGAGAGCAGUACUAGUCUGACCUUCAUAACGAGGAAUGGCUUCUUGUAUUAGCAGUGUUCAGAGAGGACCGAUUCUAUCUGAAAUCUACUCAUUUAGUGGAACAACUAUGGAAGCAGCAUGCCUGGAGAGUUACAGCCAUGAAAUAAUUAUCUACCUCACCAGGUACAAAAGGCAUUGAGUAGGGAGGGAUGCUGUGAUUCCCCUGAGGAGCGGGUCGGAGGGAAGCUGGCAAGGGAGAACACUUAGCUGCUGCUGCGCUCUCUCCCAAUAUGCAUCGUCCCAAGAAAGUCUAGAGGAUGUAAAGGAAAACAUUCUGCUGCUGCUUCUGGUGAAAUCACAGGCAACUGCAUCUCUAGGUGAACUUCACAGCCUCAAGAAGAGAGUUAUUACUCAAUACACCUCGAACGGUAAGGAUACCAUUUUAUUAGAUGGACAUACCACAAGACACACUACUCCUCUCUUAUUUUACACCUCUGUUAGCAAUCAAAUGUGUGUUGCUCACAAAGGAAAAGCAGCACCUGUGCUGCAAUAUGCUUUUAAAGCAACACUGUGACCUUGUUAAUUUCAUACUUGCUUUGUAACGGUUCUGUUUAGGAAGCCUUAAUUUAAGUAGCUCCAAACCUCCAGGCCUCCUGUGAUCUUUUCUAUUGUACCUCCUUCCAUGUUCUGAUAUAUGUAAAGCUUAGAUCUUACUGGAUCUUACCUGAUCAUCCCUUUCCAAGUUAUUUCCACGCCCACCAGACAGCAUCCUACCUUUUCUGCAGCCAGCAAAGACCCAACAAGACAAGCGACAGACAGUUUCACCAAUGAAAAUACCACAGCUGGUAGCAUAACAAUAAAACAAAAUAUUCAGGAGGGAGAAGAAAAAAUAAUCACAUGCACCACAUAAAUCAGACAGAGGAGAGGAAAGAUCAUUACAUUUCAUGAAGUUCAGAUUGUUGGAUUGGAAACAAAACAAAACAAAAAAAAAAAACCCAAAAAAAAUAUCCCAAAACACAUCAGCAAAGGACAAAUUCAUCCCUCUUUGGCAGUUUUCUCUAUGACAUAGCAGGCUAUAUGCAAUGGGAGUGAGUAUUUUGUCAGCUAACUGUAUACAGAUACUGGUAUUCCCCAAGGAGCUAAAACCAGGACUGCCUGACUGGGGACUCAGUGGGACAACAUCCUUCUCUCAAUACCUCCUUAGCCCCUGCACGUGAAUUUGCUUUGUCACAACAUUCAUAAACAGAAAUCCCAGCCAAUUACCCUUUUUUUGUGAGGACAUAUCUUUUUGAGAAAAUAGAUAUGAGUGUGCUUUAGCUCUACGUGUGUUUCAGGGAAGCCUGUUAGCAGUCAGUCUAACAGAAAACCUGUGAAUAAUAACAAUUCUUGAGGAAUACUAAGACCAAAACAUAUAUCACAAACUGUGUACACUACCAACUGAGUUCAAAGUCUUGAAUACUCACAUUUAGAAAAAGUACAGUACAGCCAAGAGAUUAUCCUCAGAUUGUGUUUCUGUACAAGCCAUUAUUUUUACAGCAGAAUUGACUGAGUACUGAAAAAAUAAGUGGAAAGGCUCAGGCAAGUUCAGCUAGAGAAGGUGGUGUUAUUAUUAAAAGGAACUUCUUUAUCAA